rnacentral:rRNA from 1 species
GACGAACGCUGGCGGCAUGCCUAAUACAUGCAAGUCGAACGCUGAAGCACUCUGCUUGCGGAGUGCGGUUGAGUGGCGAACGGGUGAGUAACACUUGUGAAAUCUACCUCUAAGAGGGGGAUAACAUUCGGAAACGGGUGCUAAUACCGCAUAUAUUCUCGGACCGCCUGGUCCUUGAAAGAAAUACGGCUUUGCUUUCGCUUAUAGAUUAUCCCGCGGCGUAUUAGUUAGUUGGUGGGGUAAAGGCCUACCAAGACAAGGAGACGUAGCCGACCUGAGCGGGUGAUCGGAAAGACUGGGACUGAGAAACGGCCGAGACUCCUACGGGAGGCAGCAGUAGGGAAUCCUACAGAAAGGGCGAAAGCCUGAUGGAGCAAUGCCGCGUGAAUGAAGAAGGACUUAGGAUCGGAAAGUUCUGUUAGUAGAGAAGAACAAGUGAAGUAGUAACUGUCUUGACUUUGACGGUACCUACACAGAAAGCCACGGCUAACUACGUG